UGCAUCUGAAGUUUAUGAGGAUGAGAACCUCCGGGGGUAGAGGUUCGACUCGAGCGGAGCGAGAGAACGUUGCGUCAGCAACGGCCCGAAGG
rnacentral:sRNA from 1 species